GAGAUGUCGUUCAUGGCGCCAUGUUUACGGUAUUCGUAAAAGAUGUAGCGAAUACAGAAAACGGAGAUGGUUGUUAAAGCUAUUAAAUUAAUUGAUUUUGGGAUGUAAUUUAGAGAUGAAAAUGACGUGUACUGAAAUUGAGAUGAAUAAGGUUGAUUCACCUUCGAAGGAAGUUGCUGAACUGGAAGAAACUGAAAUGAAUAAGGUUGAUUCCACUUCAAAGGAAGUUGCUGCGUUAGAAGGUGA